ACUCAAAGGAAUUGACGGGGGCCCGCACAAGCGGAGGAACAUGUGGUUUAAUUCGAUGAUACGCGAGGAACCUUACCCGGGCUUGAAAUGGAGAGGAAUACGGGCGAAAGUUCGUAGCCAGCAAUGGUCUCUUUGUAGGUGCUGCAUGGUUGUCGUCAGCUCGUGCCGUGAGGUGUCGGCUUAAGUGCCACAACGAGCGCAACCCUUGCCGUCGGUUGCCAUCGGGUUAUGCCGGGGACUUCGACGGGACUGCCACCGUAAGGUGCGAGGAAGGUGGGGAUGACGUCAAAUCAGCACGGCCCUUACGUCCGGGGCGACACACGUGUUACAAUGGGGGGUACAGAGGGUCGCUACUGCGCGAGCAGGUGCCAAUCUCUAAAUCUCCUCUCAGUUCGGAUCGGAGUCUGCAACUCGACUCCGUGAAGUUGGAUUCGCUAGUAAUCGCGCAUCAGCCAUGGCGCGGUGAAUACGUUCCCGGGCCUUGUACACACCGCCCGU
rnacentral:rRNA from 1 species